CAGGGUUGCGUGCUCAGCCCACUUCUCUACACUCUUUUCACUCAUGACUGCUGCUCCUCUUCUCCAUCUACCCUCAUAGUGAAAUAUGCUGACGACACAACGGUACGUGGCCUCAUCACAGGAAAUGAUGAGACCUCAUACCGGAGGGAGGCCGAGAGACUGGGAGAGUGGUGCGGUGAUCACAACCUGGUUCUCAACACCACCAAGACCAAGGAAGUGAUCAUCGAUUUCCGCAGGGCCAGAAAACAACAGCCACUCUCCACUCCUAAUCGGAGGGGAGGAGGUAGAGAGGGAGUCCAACUUCAAGUUUCUGGGCGUGACUGUGGCCGAUGAUCUGUCCUGGAGGACAGACAUCCCCUCUACCGUGGGUAGUCGGGGUCAUCUCUGGUGAGCUGGUCCACCCGGGCCGGUUUGGGGACAAUUCUCUGGGUGUUGCUGUCAAAGUGAAAAAACUGAACCUCAUCCAUCGUCCCAACCGCAACAAACUCUGGGAAGGAGAGAGUCCAGACGACGCCAUGUAGGAAAUCCUCAUAGUGGAAACAAUAAUUCCCAGCGAUGUGAACGCGCCAUAAUAUGUACAUCCCAGCAGAUAGACAGGUAUAUGGCCCCUCCCCCUGUCCUAUGGCUCCACCCCCUGGCCGUACAGGUAAUGUGGGAAACUUUUGUUUAUUAAAGAACAUGAUUUAAUCUAAAUUAUUAUUAAUUAUUUUGAUUCUAAAUUCAACAGGAAUUUGGCGGGAACCCUCAGGUUGGAUUUGUUUGUACAACCUACUAAUGGUUAAACAAGAAGAGUGGAAAUGGGAUUAAAAGUAUAUUUAAACAGAAUCACUCCAAACUGAAGUUUAAUGUUUAGUAGCGAUAAUAGAUUAUAUUUAUUUGAUUCAUGAACAACUUCAUCAAAUGAAUAUGCAAAGUCAAUGAUUAAUCAUGUUGUGGAUUAACUGGUCGCAUUUUGGAUGAUAAGUGAAUGGUUUUCAGUUUUACAAGGAAAUCUAACAACUCAAUGUCUUCUAUUCAGGGACCAGAAACAAACCUUUUGAAACGUUUGAAAAAAAACUAUUGAAUAAUAGUAAACAAUUGAUUAGUAGUCAACUAUGGAAUAAUAGUUUUGAACAGGAAAAACUGUCAUCAGUCAUAUCUGAGGACACAUCGUGACCAAAGACCAACAGCAGCAGCGCCGUUAGCGCCUUCAUAUCGAUGUAUUCAGAAGAACAGCUCGAUGAGAUUAUCCACAGAGACGUGACUCUGACUCCAACAUCAGACGCACUGAUGCUCACACACUGUUACAGCGACCAAGUUUCAUGUAACCCUUAAUGAAUUGUUCUUACAAUAUUAUGUUCAGCUGGCUUUAAUAUUUAUUCAGCAUUACAUCAUUAUCAACAAUGUUCAGCUCUACAUAAUGUUCACUUAUACAUAACGUUCAGAAAGAUAUAACGUUCAUUUAUAUAUAAUGUUCACCAUAUUUUUUAGCAAUAUCUAAUCUUCAUCCAUAUAUAUGUUUAGAUGUAUACAGUUCAGCUAAAUGUGUGUUGAUAUGUGUGUUUAUGAAUGUGUGGUUUAAUGUGUGUGUGUGUGUGUGUGUGUGUGUGUGUGUGUGUGUGUGUGUGUGUGUGUGUGUGUGUGUGUGUGUGUGUGUGUGUGUUUUGUCUUU